rnacentral:rRNA from 1 species
CCUACGGGUGGCUGCAGUGGGGAAUAUUGGACAAUGGGCGAAAGCCUGAUCCAGCAAUGCCGCGUGAGUGAAGAAGGCCUUAGGGUUGUAAAGCUCUUUCGCCUGCGACGAUGAUGACGGUAGCAGGAGAAGAAGCCCCGGCUAAUUCCGUGCCAGCAGCCGCGGUAAUACGGAAGGGGCUAGCGUUGUUCGGAAUUACUGGGCGUAAAGCGCGCGUAGGCGGCUUGGCAAGUGAGGCGUGAAAGUCCUGGGCUCAACCUGGGGACGGCGCUUCAGACUGCUUGGCUUGAGUCCGGAAGAGGGUGGUGGAAUUCCGAGUGUAGAGGUGAAAUUCGUAGAUAUUCGGAGGAACACCGGUGGCGAAGGCGGCCACCUGGUCCGGAACUGACGCUGAAGUGCGAAAGCGUGGGGAGCAAACAGGAUUAGAAACCCUGGUAGUC